AAUCAACGCUGGCGGCGUGCCUCAGACAUGCAAGUCGAACGCGAAAGUUUCCUUCGGGGAGCGAGUAGAGUGGCGCACGGGUGAGUAACACGUAGGUAAUCUACCUUCGGAUGGGGAAUAACAAUCGGAAACGGUUGCUAAUACCGCAUAAUGCAGCGGCUACCUAAAUGGUGACAGUUGUUAAAGCGGAGGAUCGUAAGACCUCGCGUCUGAAGAGGAGCCUGC
rnacentral:rRNA from 1 species